UACGGGGGGGGGCAAGCGUUGUUCGGAAUUACUGGGCGUAAAGGGCUCGUAGGCGGCCAACUAAGUCGGAUGUGAAAUCCCCAGGCUUAACCUGGGAACUGCAUCCGAUACUGGAUGGCUUGAAUCCGGGAGAGGGAUGCAGAAUUCCAGGUGUAGCGGUGAAAUGCGUAGAUAUCUGGAGGAAUACCGGUGGCGAAGGCGGCACCCUGGACCGGCAUUGACGCUGAUGAGCGAAAGCUAGGGGAGCAAACGGG
rnacentral:rRNA from 1 species